rnacentral:rRNA from 1 species
GGUGAACGCUGGCGGUAGGCCUAACACAUGCAAGUCGAGCGGCAGCACAAUAAGAGCUUGCCCUUAGGUGUGGCGAGUGGCGGGCGGGUGAGGCAUACAUCGGAAUCUCCUUUAACGUGGGGGAUAACGUAGGGAAACCUACGCUAAUACCGCAUACGACCUACGGGUGAAAGCAGGGGAUCUUCAGACCUUGCCCGAUUGAGUGAGCCGAUGUCCGAUUUGCUAGGUUGCGGGGUAUAGGCCCACCAAGGCGACGAUCCGUAGCUGUUCUGAGAGGAUGAUCAGCCACACUGGACCUGAGACACGGUCCAGACUCCUACGGGAGGCAGCAGUGGCGAAUAUUGGACAAGGGGCUCAAGCCUGAUCCAGCCAUACCGCGUCGGUGAAGGAAGCCUUGGGGUUGUAAAGCCCUUUUGUUGGGAAAGAAAAGGAAAAGGUUCUAUUCUCGCGGUUCUGACGGUACCCAAAGAAUAAGCACCGGCUAACUUCGUG